GUAUUGUGGGGACCACCUCCUAGAGAGGUGUUGGGCAUUAGCCAGCCACGACGGCUUGCACGUGAGAACUAGACCCCUUCGUGCAGACACCAAGCCAGCCGUUCGCAGCCAGCCAGGCCGCUUUUUUCG
rnacentral:ncRNA from 1 species